CACCAGAUAGCUCAGUGGUUAGAGCAACUGACCAAAGAUUUAGGGGGCCCAGGUGUAAAUCCUGGUCUGGUCC
rnacentral:tRNA from 1 species